CCCUCCCCUGGCAGCUCCGGCCCCAGGAGGCGCCGGGGAGGCCCGGCAGCUCCGCGGCGCGGCAGGUCUGUGCCUGCGGCCCGAGCGGGAGAGGCCGGGGCGCCCGAGGACUCCGCUGCCCGGGCCUGAGCGACCGGUCUCCGGCUGCGAGCCCGAAGCUAGCGGUUUCGCCUAAUGCGAGUCACACAGCUGGAAUUCUUCAGGAAGCGAGAUAGCUCCUCUUCGGAAGUGGAUAUUGCCAUCCCAUUAUUUCUGAGUAUUUCUGUUAACAUGCUGUUCCUGUACUUCACCAGUGGCCUUAUCGGAACAUCUCCAGCGUGCUUUUGAAACAUCGCUAUCAUCUGGUCCGUAAGUCCUGAAAUGUCGCUACGUCCUUAAAAUGUAUCCUCAGUGAAGGUUUUAAUGCUUUUUUAAAAGCUUUCAUCUCGGAAGUACUUUUAUUAAGUCAACGAGAAUGCUGCUGUGUUUAAAUAUCUCUUGAAAUCGCAGCCAGGGCACCCAUCCUGCUUUCUUUUUAAUACUUCUGAUCUGCACAUUUACAUGCAACCCUCCGGGCGUCUUCACUGACUGUGUGUAAAGGGAGCGAUGCUGCAGUGGGUGAUCAUCCUGACCACCUGCAACACCCUGAGGCCCCGUGCCACCAAUGUGGAUGCUCAGGGACAAAAGCAGAGUCUUGCAGACCUUGUAGCACCUGGAGAUUCCAGGGAUUUGGGAGCAGACAUCAUAACGAUAGCAGUGUACUGCUAACUCUUCCAUGACUGCGUGCUGCUAAGUGUGUUGUAGUUAUCCACUGCCAUCAUCAUAGUUUUCUCAGAGUUAUCUUACAGUUGAAUACUGCUAAACCAUAACUGUUACCACUAUUGUCAUGCUUGCAUUAUUGUAUUUAUAUAUUACAGUUGUAUAAACUAUCACACUGCACAUGCUAUUAAACAUCAUUAUAUAGACCUGA